rnacentral:rRNA from 1 species
AUGGCGUACAAGCUAGAGUUGCCGGCGGAUAGCAGGAUACACCCAGUCUUUCACGUGUCCCAGCUCAAGCCAUCCACCCCCAACUACACUCUGGUCUUCUCCGAGCUGCCACGACCCCCAGAUCUCGCCGGCCACGACGACGAACCGGUGGAGAUCCUGGAGAGGCCCAUGGUCAAGUGUGGCAACAACGCUCUGGUGCAGAUCAAGGUGCGCUGGCGCAACGAUGAGACGGCGACGACGUGGGAAGACUACGACACCCUACGCCGUCGUUUUCCGCAAGCACCGGCGUGGGACGCACCAGUCACCGGCGACGCAGAGCAGCACACUGAACCUGAAGACGGCGCCCGUUCUGAAGGAGUGGGGAAUGUCACACCUGCAUCGCCAGGAGGUGAUGCGGUGGACGCGUGA